rnacentral:tRNA from 1 species
UCCAGGGUAGCCUAGUGGUCAUGGCAUCUGCCAUGUAAGCGGAACACUGUGGGUUCCCAUCCCUGGAC